rnacentral:rRNA from 1 species
UUGAACGCUGGCGGCAUGCUUUACACAUGCAAGUCGAACGGUAACAGGUUAAGCUGACGAGUGGCGAACGGGUGAGUAAUGCAUCGGAACGUGCCCGAUCGUGGGGGAUAACGCAGCGAAAGCUGCGCUAAUACCGCAUACGAUCUGAGGAUGAAAGCGGGGGCCCGUAAGGCCUCGCGCGAUCGGAGCGGCCGAUGUCAGAUUAGGUAGUUGGUGGGGUAAAGGCUCACCAAGCCGACGAUCUGUAGCUGGUCUGAGAGGACGACCAGCCACACUGGGACGGAGACACGGCCCAGACUCCUACGGGAGGCAGCAGUGGGGAAUUUUGGACAAUGGGCGCAAGCCUGAUCCAGCAAUGCCGCGUGCAGGAAGAAGGCCUUCGGGUUGUAAACUGCUUUUGUCAGGGAAGAAACGCUCUGGGCUAAUACCCUGGGGUAAUGACGGUACCUGAAGAAUAAGCACCGGCUAACUACGU